rnacentral:rRNA from 1 species
CCUACGGGUGGCAGCAGUGGGGGAUAUUGCACAAUGGGGGAAACCCUGAUGCAGCGACGCCGCGUGUGGGAAGACGGUCCUCUGGAUUGUAAACUACUGUCCUCAGGGACGAAGAUGACGGUACUUGGGGAGGAAGCUCCGGCUAACUACGUACCAGCAGCCGCGGUAAUACGUAGGGAGCAAGCGUUGUCCGGAAUUACUGGGUGAAAGGGGAUCGUAGGCGGGUUGGCAAGUUGGGUGUUAAAUCUACCGGCUAAACUGGUAGUCGCACUCGAAACUGGUAGUCUUGAGUGAAGUAGAGGCAGGCGGAAUUCCUAGUGUAGCGGUGAAAUGCGUAGAUAUUAGGAGGAACACCAGUGGCGAAGGCGGCCUACUGGGCUUUUACUGACGCUGAGGCUCGAAAGUGUGGGGAGCAAACAGGAUUAGAUACCCCUGUAGUC